rnacentral:ncRNA from 1 species
UAAAAUUAUGAUUUAUGAGGAAUUUUUAAAAAAUUAGCCAGUUUUGUCUUGGCUAUGUAUUUAACUGGAUGAAGAGCUUUAUUUGAAUUGAUUAGUGUAAAAAUAAUUAUUGUUUAGUAAUUGAAAUCUUGAUUGAUUUAACUGUCAUAGGGGCUUAGGAUUUAUGGGUUAAUGCUGUGCCAGCAGCCGCGGUUAUACAGCUUAUGGAGUUAAAUGAUUUGUGGUAAAAGAAAUAAGUGAGUAGGGGUAAAUUAGUUGAUUAGAGUUUAGUUUUGGGUAAAAUGUUGAGAGCUUAUGUAGGCUAGUUUUUAAGUUUUCAUUAGUUUAAAGUUCUAGAAUAAAUUAGGAUUAGAUACCCUAUUAUUUAGAGUCUUGAUUUACCGUAGGAUUAGUAGAAAAAAUUAAAAUGAUCUGGCGGUGUACUAACUAGAUAGAGGAAUCUGAGCAGGAGUCGACAGCCCGCGAGUAGCUUUUCUGACUUACCGUUUGUAUAUCUCCGUCGUAAGAGAAUUUUUAUAAAAUAUUCUCAAGAGUUUCAUAGGGAAAUUAUGACAGGUCAAGGUGCAGCUAAUAGUCAGGUUGUUUUGGAUUACAAUUUUAAUUAGAAUUAAACGGAGGGGAACUUGGAAUAGUUUUCAGAAGGUGGAUUUAUUAGUAUUUUUAUUAUAGGGUGGUAGAAUGAACUAGGUAUAGUAUGUGUACAUAUCGCCCGUCGUUCUCUGCGAAGAGACAAGUCGUAACAUAGUUGGUUUAUCGGAAGGUGAAUCUUAGUGAAU